UGGGGAAUUUUGGACAAUGGGGGAAACCCUGAUCCAGCCAUCCCGCGUGUGCGAUGAAGGCCUUCGGGUUGUAAAGCACUUUUGGCAGGAAAGAAACGUCAUGGGUUAAUACCCCGUGAAACUGACGGUACCUGCAGAAUAAGCACCGGCUAACUACGUGCCAGCAGCCGCGGUAAUACGUAGGGUGCAAGCGUUAAUCGGAAUUACUGGGCGUAAAGCGUGCGCAGGCGGUUCGGAAAGAAAGAUGUGAAAUCCCAGAGCUCAACUUUGGAACUGCAUUUUUAACUACCGGGCUAGAGUGUGUCAGAGGGCGGUGGAAUUCCGCGUGUAGCAGUGAAAUGCGUAGAUAUGCGGAGGAACACCGAUGGCGAAGGCAGCCUCCUGGGAUAACACUGACGCUCAUGCACGAAAGCGUGGGGAGCAAACAGG
rnacentral:rRNA from 1 species